rnacentral:rRNA from 1 species
CACCGCGGUUAUACGAGAGGCCCAAGUUGACAGACAACGGCGUAAAGGGUGGUUAGGGGACAAACUAAACUAGAGCCAAACGCUUUCAGAGCUGUUAUACGCACCCGAAAGUAUGAAACCCAAUCACGAAAGUAGCUCUACUUACCCUGAAUCCACGAAAGCUGAGAAA